GUUCCGGGACCCCAAUUUCAUUUCUUCUAAUUUCAAAGUACUGGAAUGAGUUUGCAUAAACAAACAAAAAAAAAAAGGGUCCUCGAAUGAGUAAAAUCCAUGCCACUUGGAUUUUUCCUUUUCCCAUUGCUUUUUGCAAAAAAGAUAUGCGUGCUGGGAACAUAUAUUCUGCAUUAAUUAAGCCUAGAAUUAAGUAAGUCGAGCUUUACCUAGCUAAUGAAACACUUGGUGGGGCAAACAAAGCUUAAUUAAGGGUUCUUCAAGAUUGACAAAAAGAAAGUGAGGGGAGAGGAGCAUAAUCAAGCAAAGCACGCGUUAAGUGCCGUAACCAACUCAAUGAUUCAAUGAAUAGUCAGUCAACAACGAAGGCGGCCGCGGCCGCGACCCCUUCUUACUAGUUGCAAAGUACCAUUAAUGUCGAUAAUCAUCAAAAAUGCCGAAGAAAACAAUUUGUUAAGUAUUCAUUAAUAAUUACUGAAUAGCAUAAACGGAAAUAAAGGGGAUAAGAGAAGGUUUUCGUUAUUAAUGUGUCAUGAUUCGAUGUCAGAAGUGACAAACGUCAGUAAGUCAGUCACGGUUGGUACUUUCCUUUGUAAUCAAAUAACUCGUGUCUGUCUCUGCAACAAAGAUCCAUCAAAAAAGAGUCUGUCACAUACACACAGCACAGAGUGCCAGAAAUGAUGGAGUUUGUUGCAAUCUUCGUAUCUGUAUUCAGAUUGAGAUGAUAAAAAAAGUCAAUUCAUCCACUUCUGCUUCUUCAUCAUCAUAAAUUCGCAAUAAUGAAUUUAUCGAAACCUCCCAAGCACAUUAGAUUUCUUGAUUGUCACUUGAAUUCCAAGGUUCGCAGAUGUCUUUUCUUGAUAUCCAUCGCUCUCAUCUUCCGAGCUCUUUUUCUCCUUACAACCCCUCUCGCCUUCAAACAUAACACCAUUUUUGAUUAUUGGUUCAGUACCUCCUCUUCUCAUCAUCUGGUUCAUGACAACUCGUCUGGUGGAGGAAUAAGAAGUGAUAAAUUCUUAGAGGUUCCUCAAAUUGCAUGGGGACUAAACAAUCAAAAGAUAGCAGUGGCAAGAGCUUUUCUAACAGCCAGAAUGCUCAACAGAACUUUGUUACUUCCUAGCUUAAGCGCUUCUUUGUUUUACAAAGAAGUCAAUCUCUUGCAAUCAGUCACUUUCGAUAAGAUUUUUCAGUUUGACAAGUUUAAUUCUCUCUGCAAUGGCUUUGUUCAAUUGGGUCGCUUCUCUGACAUUUCAAAUAAGACCGAUGUUUUCGAUCUCAACAAGGGCAGUGGAAGAAAAUGGACAAUGGAGAGGGAUUUAGAGCAACUGAGAAAGGUUAAGCAAGACCCUGGUAUUGACGGGUACGAGGUUAUUCGGAUACUUGGGAAGAAUCCAUUCCUUUGGCAUGAUCAUUGGCCUGUCAGAGACUAUGCCAACGUCUUCGAGUGCUUAGUAUUAGUUGAUGAGAUAACCGAAGAAGCUGAGAGAGUUGUGUCUAGGAUUAGAGAGAUAGGAAGUCAAGUGAUUGAAAGCAAAACAGGUCCAUUGCCGCGAACGCAGCAGCCUUAUUAUGUAGCUGUGCACAUGAGAAUAGAGAAAGACUGGAUGAUUCACUGCAAGAAGCUCCAACAGAGGAACAAUGUCACUCAGAUUUGUAGCAGUAAAGAGGAAAUUCUGGAACGGGUAGGCAAUAUUGUCGGUAUAAAUCAACAACCUACGGUUGUUUAUCUGGCGGUGGCGGACGAUCUUCUCGUGGAUGGUUCUGUUUUGAGUGGUUGGAAGGAAGGUCUCCUUCCUUAUGAGAAGAAAAAGUUGGGUGUUUGGGAUAUCUACAAAAAGUACCCGUAUCUCAUUCAAUCAGCAAUCGACUACGAAGUUUGCUUGAGAGCUGAUGUCUUUGUUGGUAAUAGCUAUUCUACAUUUUCAAGUCUUAUAGUUCUCGAACGAAGCCAGAAAUUGCUUAGAACGGGUGCUGUUACAGAGGGAUCAUCAUGCACUACAAAUGGCAAUGAAUCAGGUGGCAGCAGCAUAAAGUGGCCUUCAUAUGCAUAUAAUAUAUUAGGCGAAUCUGGGGGGCCGAAGAAAUGGAUGACAAAUAUGUCCGAUACGAGUCUUCAAGCGAUCAGUUACGGUUCUAAUGAUGUCUCCUGCUAAACAAAUGAAUUUUGUAUAGAUACAUAAACACACAGUUACUUCUUCCAGUAAGUGUCCAACCUGAGUUGGCCAUUCAGGCACUUGGUGGUUGUACCUACCAAAAGGUUUGGGGUCAGAUGCGUCUUUCUAAAGUGGAAUUACUAUAUACAGAAACUAGCUAGUCACUGGUAGAGCUGGAAGAAGCAAGAAAUAAUUUUGGGAACACUCAAGUGAAUAUACAUCAAGGUUUUCAUGAGAAUCAAUCAGUACAUCACUUAACAUGAGCUGUGUACUUCUAUUAUAAGCGAAAGCCUCAACGGUUUAUAAGUCUGCCUCAACAGUUGGUGGAAGACAAGCCGGAAGUUGGGACCAAAACAUAGAGGUGUUGUUCAUCUUUGUCCAGUGAGCAGUGAAUGAGCAGCAACAUUAUAAGUUCUGAGAAUAAAGGUGAAUUUGCAAACAACAAGUGAGGUUUUCAAUUCCAAAAUAUCUGCAAGUAAAGCAUCAAUGCGGUUGUAAGUUGAUCAAUUAGCUCCUUCGCGUCACCUUCAAUUACAACACAUUUAGCG